rnacentral:pre_miRNA from 1 species
AAGAGAGCAGUCUAUUGACAGUCGGUUACUCGAAAUCUUUACUGUCAUGGAGGCGCUCUCUUCA